UACGAAGGGGGCUAGCGUUGCUCGGAAUCACUGGGCGUAAAGCGCACGUAGGCGGAUUGCUAAGUCAGGGGUGAAAUCCUGGAGCUCAACUCCAGAACUGCCUUUGAUACUGGCGACCUUGAGUCCGGGGAGAGGUGAGUGGAACUGCGAGUGUAGAGGUGAAAUUCGUAGAUAUUCGCAAGAACACCAGUGGCGAAGGCGGCUCACUGGCCCGGUACUGACGCUGAGGUGCGAAAAGCGUGGGGAGCAAACAGGGAUUAAGAUACCCUUG
rnacentral:rRNA from 1 species